rnacentral:tRNA from 1 species
GCCCGGGUGGCGUAAUCGGUAGCCGCGCAACACUUAAAAUGUUGUGGUUAAUAACCGUGCCGGUUCGAGUCCGGCCCCGGGCA